AGUUAGUGGUUAUCCUACCUUGAAGUUUUUUCCCAAGGAAAACAAAGCUGGUGAAGAUUAUGAGGCUGAACGGGAGUUGGAUGAUUUUGUUAAAUUUAUUAAUGUGAAAUGUGGCACUAGCCGUGAUGCGAAUGGUCAACUUACUUUCCAGCAACUGCUAUUAUUGAUAGUUUCUCGGAUCUUUUUCGCAAUAAGUAUGCAGUGGAAGACUCAUUGAUUGUGAUGAUUGCUAAGGGACUAAGACCCAUUUUUCUUGGCCUUAUAUUGUGUGCAUCCCAUAGUCGUACGUUCUCUAUACUUAAUGAGUGAUUCGUGCCUCUGGAAAUAUAUAAACACUUGGGCCAUCACGAUGUU